rnacentral:rRNA from 1 species
AGGUAGGAAUACCCGCUGAACUUAAGCAUAUCAAUAAGCGGAGGAAAAGAAACCAACAGGGAUUGCCCUAGUAACGGCGAGUGAAGCGGCAACAGCUCAAAUUUGAAAUCUGGCUCUCGGGCCCG